rnacentral:rRNA from 1 species
UACGAAGGUGGCAAGCGUUGUUCGGAUUUACUGGGCGUACAGGGAGCGUAGGCGGUUGGAUAAGCCCCCCGUGAAAUCUCCAGGCUUAACCUGGAAAGUGCAGAGGGGACUGUUCAGCUAGAGGAUGGGAGAGGAGCGCGGAAUUCCCGGUGUAGCGGUGAAAUGCGUAGAGAUCGGGAGGAAGGCCGGUGGCGAAGGCGGCGCUCUGGAACAUUUCUGACGCUGAGGCUCGAAAGCGUGGGGAGCAAACAGG